rnacentral:rRNA from 1 species
CCUACGGGAGGCAGCAGUGGGGAAUAUUGGACAAUGGGGGCAACCCUGAUCCAGCCAUGCCGCGGGUGUGAAGAAGGCCCUCGGGUUGUAAAGCACUUUCAGUGAGGAAGAACGCCUGGUGGUUAAUACCCAUCAGGAAAGACAUCACUCACAGAAGAAGCACCGGCUAACUCCGUGCCAGCAGCCGCGGUAAUACGGAGGGUGCGAGCGUUAAUCGGAAUUACUGGGCGUAAAGCGCGCGUAGGUGGCUUGAUAAGCCGGUUGUGAAAGCCCCGGGCUCAACCUGGGAACGGCAUCCGGAACUGGCAAGCUAGAGUGCAGGAGAGGAAGGUAGAAUUCCCGGUGUAGCGGUGAAAUGCGUAGAGAUCGGGAGGAAUACCAGUGGCGAAGGCGGCCUUCUGGACUGACACUGACACUGAGGUGCGAAAGCGUGGGUAGCAAACAGGAUUAGAUACCCCAGUAGUC